UACGUAGGGGGCGAGCGUUGUCCGGAUUUAUUGGGCGUAAAGAGCGUGUAGGCGGCCAGGUAGGUCAGCUGUGAAAACUCGAGGCUCAACCUCGAGAUGUCGGCUGAAACCAUCUGGCUAGAGUCCGGAAGAGGAGAAUGGAAUUCCCGGUGUAGCGGUGAAAUGCGCAGAUAUCGGGAAGAACACCCGGUGGCGAAGGCGGUUCUCUGGG
rnacentral:rRNA from 1 species